AACGAACGCUGGCGGCAUGCCUAACACAUGCAAGUCGAACGAGACCUUCGGGUCUAGUGGCGCACGGGUGCGUAACGCGUGGGAACCUGCCCUUAGGUUCGGAAUAACUCCCCGAAAGGGGUGCUAAUACCGGAUAAUGUCUUCGGACCAAAGAUUUAUCGCCUUUGGAUGGGCCCGCGUUGGAUUAGCUAGUUGGUAGGGUAAUAGCCUACCAAGGCGACGAUCCAUAGCUGGUCUGAGAGGAUGAUCAGCCACCCUGGGACUGAGACACGGCCCAGACUCCUACGGGAGGCAGCAGUGGGGAAUAUUGGACAAUGGGCGAAAGCCUGAUCCAGCAAUGCCGCGUGAGUGAUGAAGGCCUUAGGGUUGUAAAGCUCUUUUACCCGGGAUGAUAAUGACAGUACCGGGAGAAUAAGCUCCGGCUAACUCCGUG
rnacentral:rRNA from 1 species